ensembl:lncRNA
CACCAGGCUCCGCCGUCCCUGGGAUUCUCCAGGCAAGAACACUGGAGUGGGUUGCCAUUUCCUUCUCCAAUGCAUGAAAGUGGAAAGUGAAAGUGAAGUUGCUCAGUCGUGUCUGACUCUUAGCGAUUCUAUGGACUGCAGCCCACCAGGCUCUUCUGUCCAUGAGAUUUCCCAGGCAAGAGUACUGGAGUGGGGUGCCAUUGCCUUCUCCCAAUCUAGAAUAGAAAAGAGUCUAAACCUGUACACCUGAAACUAACACGAUAUUGUAAAUCAACCAUAGUUAAAUAAAAUAAAUUCCAAAAGUAAAAUAUUGUUAAUUAUUCGAAAAAACCCCAAAUCUCCCUUUAUAUCAUCCAUCAGGGCCUUCACGAGCUACUACACAGCUGUUUGUUCUUUCGUUCAUUCAAAUAUCUCUUGAGCACCUGUUAUGGCUGAGCACUGUCUCAGAUGCUGGGGAAACAACAGUGAACAUGACAAAGCCUUGUGGUGGCACAGACAAUAAACCAGCAAGCAAAUUAAUGACUUACUACUGUGACCCAAACAAUGAAGGUGACCAGUGUUGCUGUGGUUCGGGCGUCAAGUAGGCAGCCUUCUUCCAAGGGGCAGCCAGGGCAGGUCUCCCAGAGGCAUGGAGGUUGCAGGCUGAGAACUGGAGGGGGAGGAAAGAACCAGCUGUUUGAAGAUGGAGAGGAAGAGUGGUCCAGGAGUGUGCUAAGGUUCAGAGUUUCCACCUGGAACAUGAAGAUGAUUAAGGUGCCUGCCUCAUCGGUUUGUUGGGAGGUUUACAUGAAUAAGACUUGCAAUGUCCUUAGAAUGUUCUGAAUACACGCUGCUGAGGCCAGAGUUCCCUGCCAGUGGGUAGCUGAUCCAGAUCCCAGGCUCUCUCGUCAGUGAAGGCAUCUCUGCCAGCAGAUCUCCGUGUCUUCAAGGUUGAAUAAGAGGUAAUGAGUCAACCAGGAAAAUGGGUCAGAGGCCCAUUAACUUGGACUCAACUGUUGCUGAAAGCCUCUGUCACCAGUGUCUGCUUUACCUGUCACUAGGCUCCAGGAUGAGGCCUGGUCGGAGUCACCUGAAUGUGCCCUUCCCUCCACGCCACGGCCAGGGAGUCACUCCCUCAUUCAUUCAACAAACAUUUAUUGAGCACCUACUAUGUGCCAGGCGCUGUUCUAGGCUCAAAGGAGAAACCAGGAAACUUUCUACAUUCCAUCUCAGGGAGACAAACUAAACCAGAAACAUAAAGAAGCAAAUGAAACUUGUUAUAAGAUGGAAAGUACUGGGGAAAAAAUAGAGGUGGAUAAGAGGAAUUGGGAAUCUUGGAAGAUUAAGCCAGCAAGACUUCUAAUGAAUUGGAUGUGGAAUGUGAGAGGAAAAGAGGAGUCUGGGGUGACCCCCAGGUUUUGGCAUGAAUAUCUGAAGUGCUGAAUUGCCGACACUUGAGUAAGGGUGAGGGCGAAGCAGGGUUGAGGGGACGACCAGGAGACCAGUUUGGACAUCUGAGGGUUGAAAGGUUGGACAUCUGGGGGUUGAAAGGCCUCCUAGACAUUCAGGUGAAGAUGCUGAGAGUGAGCUGGGUUUGUGGGGCUUGGAUUGGGGAAUGAGGCUGGGCUGGAGUUGCUGGCAUGAAGGGAUAUAAAGCCAUGGCCUGGAUGGUCACCGGGGCUAAGCCUCGGGGUUGCGGGGAGAAGAGAAGGAUCACAGAAGAGGCAGAAAGGAGUAGCCACUGAGGGAGGAGGACAAGUAGGAGAAACGUGGUGCGAUGGGUCUAGGCAGUCAGGCUCAGGAACUAAGGGGGUCACCCAUGGCCUUGUGGGAGGAGCCUGGCUGCAGUAAUUCUCCAUGUCUGGGUGACUUACCUUUUGCCUUCAUGGCAGGCUGAAUGACAGCCCCCAGGUAUGUCAGGUCCUAGUCCCUGGAACCUUUCAUUACCUAACAGUGGGAAAUGGUCUUUGCAUGUGUGAUGUAGGAUUUUGAGACUGGAAGAUUACACUGGAUUAUCUGGCUGUCUUUGUAAUAGAGGCAGAAGGAGACCUGACCCAGAGGUGACAAUGUGACCAGGGAGGCGAGCUCGGAAGGACGCAGCACAAGCCAAGGAGUGCAGGCAGCCCCCGAAGCUGGAAGAGGCAAGGAUCAGACUCCGUCCUAGAACCUCCAGCAGAAGUGUCGCCUUGCUGACGUCCUGGUUUCAGAUGUCUGGCCUCCAGACCUGUGAGAGAAUGGACGUCUGCUGCUUUAUGCCGCUGAGUUUGUGGCAUUUUCUUACAGCAGCAACAGGAAGCGGAUACAAGCCGCCUGAUCUCAGUUCUGCCCCUAAUUUAGUCGUCGUCAUCAUCCAACGAUUGUAACAGCCCCAGCACCAGAGGGCCUUCUGCCUGCCCCACAGCCUUACCCUCCACACACAGACUGAUGGGUAAUUCCUUCCUGAAUUCCCGCAGCACAGAGUCCACAUUUGUUAGCCUGAAGCACAGCGCUUUUCCUGACAUGGCCCCUGAGUACUUCUCCUCCCUUAUUUCUCACCACUUGGCCCCAUCGCUUUUGCUCCAGCUGUCUCAACCUCCCUGCAGUUUUCAACUGUUACAUGUUCUCUCAAACUUCUGAGGCUUUGCACAUGCUGUCCCCUUUGCCUGGAACACUCUUCCUCACCCCAGAUAUCUGCAUGGCUUGUUUUCUCAUUGACUUCGGGUCUUUGCCCCCAAAGAACUUCCUUGAUGAUAGAUUUCAAAGCACAACCCCCUCUUCACCUUCGCAUUUCCGAUUCCCUUGCCCUACCCCGUUUUCCCCCCAUGGUACUUAUCACUGCCUAUGUAUUUAACGUAUUUGUUCAUUGUCUGUUGCCCCUGAUUAGAAUUAAAUUUCACAGGAGCAGGGAAUUUAAACUGGGUGGCUUAAACAAUAAACAUUUACUUCUCACAGUUCUGGAGGCGCCGGCAUGCAGAGUCAAUGCCUGCUGAGAACUUUGAGCUCUUCAUCCCCUUAUAAGGGCACCAAUCCCAUCCUAGGGGCUCCACCCCAUGACCUCAUUCAAAGCUAGUCACCUCCCAAAGGUCCCACUUCCAAACACCAUCACACUGGUUUCAACAUAUGCAUCUGGGGGGAUACAAGCAUUCAGUCCACAGCAAGAGGAUUUGGGGGUGAUUUGGAAGGUCUCCUGGGAUUUUCAGCCCCUUGUAAUCCUUGAGAGCAAAGAUUCCUCUCCUUUCUGAGCCAUGGAUCUCUUCACUGAGCAAAUCUUUUGAAUGCAUAAGAUGCAUUAUAUUACAAAGGAUUCUAAUUAUUUUGAACUGCAGUUAUCAAAAUAUUAAAAGAAGACAUUUUGAUAUAGUAAUAAAUGUGUUUCUUUAUUAAUGAAUUGAAUACCAAGAGCUAGGGACGGAUCUAAUUAGUACCAUAAUUUUGAAGUGGUGAUGAGCAUAAGUGAUCUUCCAAGACAGCAGCAGCAACAGCAAUGUGAUAUGAAAAUAUCUGUGAUUUCUCUUAG